UACGGAGGGUGCGAGCGUUAUCCGGAUUCACUGGGUUUAAAGGGUGCGUAGGUGGGAAUGUAAGUCAGUGGUGAAAUCUCUGAGCUUAACUCAGAAAACUGCCAUUGAUACUAUGUUUCUUGAAUUUUCUGGAGGUCAGCGGAAUAUGUCAUGUAGCGGUGAAAUGCUUAGAUAUGACAUAGAACACCAAUUGCGAAGGCAGCUGGCUACAGGGAUAUUGACACUGAGGCACGAAAGCGUGGGGAUCAAACAGG
rnacentral:rRNA from 1 species